AAUUCAGUGAAGGUCUGUGAGAGAGAGUUCAAGUGAGUUAGGCAGAAUUCUAUGCAGUUCCUGACGAUUACAUUACUUUACACAGCAAAAGGGACUUUACUAAUUAACUACAGUCAUUAAUUAGUUGUUUAAAGGUAGGGAGAUUGACUGACUGGGCAAGCAUAAGCAUUUCAGGCCUUUAAAAACAUACAGCCUUCUCUGCUGCUCCACAAGAAGACACCAGACAGAGCAGAGUCACAAGAAAGAGUCUUUACCUCUAUUCACUUGAAGAUGGGAAAGGCCACGUGUGAAGGACAUUAGCCACCAGUACCUGCCAAAAGCGAGUCCUGGCUGACAGCAGCAGGCAGGAGCAGCUAUUUGGGGGAUGUCAGAGAAGACAUAACGAUGCCCUUCUCACCGUCCACAGAAGCACAUUCCUAGUGGGAGCUAAACCCACAGACAAAGCCUGGCCUCAGACAUCACCAGACAGGACUAAGCUGGCCUUUAAAUCCCUCCCUAGAAUAUCGGGUCUGGGAUCGCGAAAGACAAUGUGCAGAAUGGUGGAGCUGUAACACAGGAACCCGGAAGUCACUGGCUACUAUGGCUUACUGGACGUGUGCUCAGGGAGAUAGGACAAAGAAUGAGCGGGGAAAAAAGAGAAAAAAAGAAAAGAAAAGAAAGAGAAAACCAGAAGCAGCCAUGUGAAGUAGGAGUGACUGCAAGACAGGAAGAGGGUUCUCCUGAUUUCCUUUAGAUCCAUGUGGGACCUAGAUGACUCUGUUCAUAGAUUUGGUGAAAAACCUCUGCGAAAACAUUAUUCACAUUGAAAAGAAACCUCAUUUCCAGAUUUGAAAUAGAGCAACAUUUCAAGGCUAGAACUGAAACUAUUAUUUUACAUUGGCAUUUUCCUCAAAUAUCCUUCACCUUAUAAAUAAAUAUAUAGCAGUAGGUAGAUCUCCGUCCUUCCUAUCAACAACCGGACAACCUGAGGUAGAACAAAGACAGAAUGAUCUUCUUCCACUGCUCUAAUGGCCUAGAGCAUCGCAGCAGAGAGCAUUUUCAUGUGUGGGUGUAGGCCUCAGUGGUGAUGGGAGGCCAUCACAAGACCUUACUAGUCAGCUUCUUCUGUAAGCCAUUGUAUACAGAAUAACUCCACAGGGAAACUUGGUCCUAUUGCUGGCUUAGAAUUUAACGAAUCUAGUAAAGUAUGAGGGAAAACAGGGGUCUGAUCUGACUUCCACAUUAAAGUUUUCAAUUACUUUAAGGCAGUGGUUCUCAAGCUGUGGGUUGUGGAGGUCAAAUAGCAGUCUCACAGAGGUCACCUCAGACCAUUGGAAAAUACAGAUAUUUAUAUUACAAUCCAUGAACAGUAGUAAAAUUACAGUCAUGAAGUAGCAAUGAAAAUAAUUUUAUGGUUGGGGGUCACAAAACAUGACGGACUGUAAUAAAGUGUUGAGAACCACUGCUGUAAGUGCACCAUGGACCUAAGAUAAUGAAAGAUGCUGAUUCUUAGGUUAAAUCUGAGCUGAAGCUGUUCAUUUGCUUUUAAUUCCAAAAUAUCUUACUUUACUUUGUCUUAAGUACAAAUCUAAUAUACAAAUUGUGUCAUUCCUAAAUGUGUAUGUACUCAUUUAAUAAAAUGAUUUUUCAUAUAAAAUCAUAA